ensembl:snRNA U1 U1 spliceosomal RNA
UUAGCUACCUGGCAGGGGAGGUACCAUGGUACUGAAGGUGGUUUUCCCAGGGUGAAGCUCAUCCAUUGCACUCCAGACAUGCUAACCCCUGCAUUCUCCCCAAAUGUGGGAAACUCGACUGCAUCAUUUGUGGCAGUGGGAGACUGUAUUCAUGCUUUCCCCUG